rnacentral:rRNA from 1 species
AUUGAACGCUGGCGGCAGGCCUAACACAUGCAAGUCGAACGAGUGGCGGACGGGUGAGUAAGGUCUGGGAAACUGCCUGAUGGAGGGGGAUAACUAGUGGAAACGGUAGCUAAUAGCGCAUAUGAUCGUAUGUGCCCAGUUGGGAUUAGCUAGUGGGUGGGGUAAAGGCUCACCUAGGCGACGAUCCCUAGCUGGACUGAGAGGAUGACCGGCCACACUGGAACUGAGACACGGUCCAGACUCCUACGGGAGGCAGCAGUAGGGAAUAUUGCACAAUGGGCGCAAGUCUGAUGCAGCCAUGCCGCGUGUAUGAAGAAGGCCUUCGGGUUGUAAAAUACUUUCAGCGGGGAGGCGUUACCCGCAGAAGAAGCACCGGCUAACUCCGUGCCAGCCGCCGCGGUAAUAC